rnacentral:tRNA from 6 species
GCCGGUAUAGCUCAGUUGGUAGAGCAGCGCAUUCGUAAUGCGAAGGUCGCGGGUUCGACUCCUGUUACCGGCACCA